rnacentral:rRNA from 1 species
GCCUAUGACCGAAUCACACUGCAUGCGCCCGAUCUGGUCAGAUCUCAGGAGCUAGGCAGGUUUGAGCCUGGUAAGCACGUGGAUGGAAGACUGCAUGGGAAGUGCUGUAAGGCUUUGGCU